GAUACUUACGUGAUCAUGAGGGUGAUUUUCCCAGGGUGAGAUUGCACCCAGAUGUACUGCACCCUGGAGUUUCUUCAAACAUGGGAAACUCUACUGCAUAACCUUUGGUAGAAGGUGAUUGUGUUCACACUUUUCC
rnacentral:snRNA from 1 species